rnacentral:rRNA from 1 species
GUAUAAGAGACAGCAGUAGCCACGGUAAAACGUAGGGUGCAAGCGUUAAUCGGAAUUACUGGGCGUAAAGCGUGCGCAGGCGGUUAUAUAAGACAGAUGUGAAAUCCCCGGGCUCAACCUGGGAACUGCAUUUGUGACUGUAUAGCUAGAGUACGGCAGAGGGGGAUGGAAUUCCGCGUGUAGCAGUGAAAUGCGUAGAUAUGCGGAGGAACACCGAUGGCGAAGGCAAUCCCCUGGGCCUGUACUGACGCUCAUGCACGAAAGCGUGGGGAGCAAACAGGAUUAGAUACCCGCGUAGUCCCUGUCUCUUAUAU